GACGAACGCUGGCGGCGUGCUUAACACAUGCAAGUCGAACGGAAAGGCCCUGCUUUUGUGGGGUGCUCGAGUGGCGAACGGGUGAGUAACACGUGAGUAACCUGCCCUUGACUUUGGGAUAACUUCAGGAAACUGGGGCUACUACCGGAUAGGAGCUCCUGCUGCAUGGUGGGGGUUGGAAAGUUUCGGCGGUUGGGGAUGGACUCGCGGCUUAUCAGCUUGUUGGUGGGGUAGUGGCUUACCCAGGCUUUGACGGGUAGCCGGCCUGAGAGGGUGAACGGCCACAUUGGGACUGAGAUACGGCCCAGACUCCUACGGGAGGCAGCAGUGGGGAAUAUUGCACAAUGGGCGGAAGCCUGAUGCAGCAACGCCGCGGGCGGGAUGACGGCCUUCGGGUUGUAAACCGCUUUCGCCUGUGACGAAGCGUGAGUGACGGUAAUGGGUAAAGAAGCACCGGCUAACUACGUG
rnacentral:rRNA from 1 species